rnacentral:rRNA from 1 species
CCUACGGGUGACAGCAGUGGGGAAUAUUGCACAAUGGGCGAAAGCCUGAUGCAGCAACGCCGCGUGAAGGAAGAAGGGUUUCGGCUUGUAAACUUCUAUCAACAGGGACGAAAGAAAUGACGGUACCUGAAUAAGAAGCCCCGGCUAACUACGUGCCAGCAGCCGCCGUAAUACGUAGGGGGCAAGCGUUAUCCGGAAUUACUGGGUGGAAGGGGUGAGUAGGCGGCAUGGUAAGACAGAUGUGAAAGCCUUGGGCUUAACCCGAGGAUUGCAUUUGAAACUAUCAAGCUAGAGUGCAGGAGAGGAAAGUGGAAUUCCUAGUGUAGCGGUGAAAUGCGUAGAUAUUAGGAAGAACACCAGUGGCGAAGGCGGCUUUCUGGACUGAAACUGACGCUGAGGCACGAAAGCGUGGGGAGCAAACAGGAUUAGAUACCCGGGUAGUC